AACUAUAUAAAUUGAAAUAUGGUGAUCAAGAAAAAGCUGCUAACUUUUAUCUUUAAUGGUUUAAUUCCAUUUAUAUUUC
rnacentral:tRNA from 1 species